UGCAUCUGUAGCUUAGAGAGGAUGAGAAGCUCCGGGGCAGGGAGGUUCGAGCCGAGCGCAGCGAGACAACGUUGCUCAGGCAACGGCCCGCAGGGGAAUAAUCCUCUCUCGCCGACCA
rnacentral:sRNA from 1 species